UACGUAGGUGGCGAGCGUUAUCCGGAAUGAUUGGGCGUAAAGGGUGCGCAGGCGGUCCUGCAAGUCUGGAGUGAAACGUAUGAGCUCAACUCAUGCAUGGCUCUGGAAACUGGCUGGCUUGAGUUGGGGAAAGGCAGGCGGAAUGCGCGGUGUAGCGGUGAAAUGCAUAGAUAUCGCGCAGAACCCCGAUUGCGAAGGCAGCCUGCCGGCCCCACACUGACGCUGAGGCACGAAAGCGUGGGUAUCGAACAGG
rnacentral:rRNA from 1 species